rnacentral:lncRNA from 1 species
CAGACUGGCCAGCACCCUACGUUUAUUUUAUCUCUACUUAUGGGAGACAAAAGUGGAUUAAGAGAGAGGACUGACACUUGGGUUUGCCCAACCAUCUGAGUUACACCUCAGACACGAGGGCAGAGCCUUAAACAGACUAUGGUCAUUGAUUACAGUUUUUUAAAAGGUACUUUUUCUUUGGAAAGAAUUCCAAACAAGAGUGAAAAUUUCUGAAAAUAUUUGUUUUCUAUGACUCCGUGUUAAGUGUGAGAAAGAGUGUGAGUGUUGCCAGUAGGUUUUGUUUACUUAGUUUGCUGGGCAUUAAUCAAUUUCUCAAUUAUUUAAGUUCAAAAUACCUUUAAAAAAUAUGUGGAAGGGAAAAACUCUCCCUUGGGUGAGGGGAAGCAAAUCCCCAUUCCAAUUUUGGUGAAUGAGAAUUGCUACCUUAGCUCUCAGAGUUGUUAAGAGCAACGAGAUAAUUCACAGCUAUCAGUUUAGAAAAUGUACAUUUAGAAACCUUCUACAUUGGGCGACCAAUAAUAGAAAAUUGUUCAAAAUAUAACUUUUCACGUCCAAUGCAUUUUGGAUGAUGGGUAUCAUGGUAUUUGAAUAGUCCUCUGCUAGCAGGCUUCAGAGGCCUCUUGGAAUUCAUUGUAGUAUCUUUCAAAUUUCUUGGAAACAUUUUAUUGAUUUUCUCUUAUGACUCACAAAAUUCUUUUGUGAAUCUUCUGUAAUUUUUUAAGAUUAAAGAUUUAAGCUUAGAGUAACUGCCACAUCAUUUAAGGUGAUGGACAAAGGGUAAAGUGGACAUUUGGCCACAAACACAACCAGGUGCAAUCACCUGGAUUUGAAACCUCAUCUGUCUUCAUAAACUCAGUAACUGUACUUUGACAUCUUCUGGACACAACUAGGGGACAGCCAAGUGAUCCAUCCGUCCACUGCUUCAUCCCUGCCACAGAUGUACCUGGAGCAGUCCUGGAAUCAAUGGAUAUGACUGCUGGAAAAGCAUAUGGACUGACGUCUCUGUACUGUCCGCAGUGAGGCAUGGAUUGGCAUCCAAGUAUGGAAGAAAGAAAGGAGAAAAAAGAGGAGGUCAUACAAUUUCCCUGGAGAUCUCCAAUGGAUUUGUAUCUAGAUCUCAGAACCAUUUCCUGUGGCCACCCUUAACUGCAAAGGAGCCUGGUAUGGUACAUACUUUAGCUGUACACAUUUUCACCUAGAAUAAAGUCAGUGUUGUGAGAAAGGAGGAAGUAGAA